CUGCAGCCAUCCAUCAGCCCUGUUGUUCACUUGCUGGCUAAGGGGACAGCCCCUGCUUCUCCCUCUUCUUCCGCAUUCCAGCGUGACCUCUGCCUGAUCUCCACUUCAAAUGCUCCGUCUGCAGCCCCUCUGUCUUCCCUGGUGGCACGUAUACCCACUGCUCCUGCCACAAAGCUAUGAAUCAUGAUAGAAUAAUAAGCCCGUUUAUGAGCUGCACACAAGCCCAAAGGACCGAAGAGCGGAAUAAAUCGCUACAAAGCUCUCUAAGCCGAUUUAUUCAUUCAACAGGUUUGUGCUUUCACUCUAGCCUCCUCUAACUGGUGUCCAAACAACGUGCAGUGCAACAGCACGAACAGCAACCUUCUUUCAAGAGGUUCGUUACUUUUGUCUUUUCAAGAUCAAGAGAUGAACUGACUUGUAAAGGCUUCGAGUCCCAGCGUGACAGAUGAACGCAUCACUGCUCUCCCUGAGUCUCAGGCUUGCAGUUAGGCCUGCAGCACUGUGCAGUAUGUCAAUGAGCUGCUAACAGAGGUGGACGGCACACAGCUCCACCAGGGAGAGAUACUGCCUAACCCCCAGGGUCCUCUUGUCCUCAGAAUGGUGGACACAGAUUUAGUAAUGGGCCUCUCUUGAGGUAGGAAGACUUUCACAGUUGAACACAGCUGUGUACUGACUGGUGCAAUCAGUAUCAAUAAAUAAAGGGAGCUUUGCCCUUCACAACACUCUGUGCAGUUAUCUGUUCCUCCAGAUACCGUUGCAGCCAUAUGGUAGCUCAGAAUCAUUCCUCUUAUCUCACAAAGAGGAAAUUGAGGCAAGGCAGGUUGCAAACGCUUUCCGAAGUUUGCCCUUCGGGGUGGAAGCUUCCCACCAUCACAGCGGCCAUCACAGAGGCAUCCUGAUGUCAUAGUCAGGGCAACAGAAUGGCAGGAGCACAAAGCCAGCUCCCUGUCUGCACUGCAGGCUCUGCCCCCACCAUUACAUUGGACACGGCAAACAACAUGGACAUCCUGAAGGAGCACACGUCGGAUCACCCUGCAGUGACCUUCUGUUGACGGUUGAUGGUUGUGUAUGCCCUUCCUUCCCACCCCCAGCCCUCAAGAAGAAGUGACAUGCCUUCUUGGAGCACCAAGGGAGGGGAGAGGUUGAGGCUAGCUAUUGGAUAAAGGUUCUCAGCGAGAGGGUGGCUGGGGAUGGAAUAGGCUCCCCAGGCAUCAUAGCAAAAAGGAAGUCUUAAGGGUGAACAGCCCAGGAAUCACUCAGCUGCAUUUUCGUUCAUGGCUAAAUGCUGGUGGAGGGUGUAAUACGUGGCUUAAAGGAACAGCUCACUGCGAACACACAAACUGCCAGGCUCACGUUGCCUUCCCUUUGCAACAGCACUCAAAGACACUGGGCUUUGAAGGGCUCUUACAAACCCCUUUCCUUUAUAUAAUUAAAAGCUGAUUACUUUUGCAACACGA